GACGAACGCUGGCGGCGUGCCUAAUACAUGCAAGUAGAACGCUGAAGAGAGGAGCUUGCUCUUCUUGGAUGAGUUGCGAACGGGUGAGUAACGCGUAGGUAACCUGCCUUGUAGCGGGGGAUAACUAUUGGAAACGAUAGCUAAUACCGCAUAACAAUGGAUGACACAUGUCAUUUAUUUGAAAGGGGCAAUUGCUCCACUACAAGAUGGACCUGCGUUGUAUUAGCUUGUAGGUGAGGUAACGGCUCACCUAGGCGACGAUACAUAGCCGACCUGAGAGGGUGAUCGGCCACACUGGGACUGAGACACGGCCCAGACUCCUACGGGAGGCAGCAGUAGGGAAUCUUCGGCAAUGGGGGCAACCCUGACCGAGCAACGCCGCGUGAGUGAAGAAGGUUUUCGGAUCGGAAAGCUCUGUUGUAAGUCAAGAACGAGUGUGAGAGUGGAAAGUUCACACUGUGACGGUAGCUUACCAGAAAGGGACGGCUAACUACGUG
rnacentral:rRNA from 1 species